rnacentral:rRNA from 1 species
AACGAACGCUGGCGGCAGGCUUAACACAUGCAAGUCGAACGGGUGUAGCAAUACAUCAGUGGCAGACGGGUGAGUAACACGUGGGAACCUUCCUAGGAGUACGGAACAACUCAGGGAAACUUGAGCCAAUACCGUAUACGUCCGUGAGGAGAAAGAUUUAUCGCCCUUAGACGGGCCCGCGUCGGAUUAGGUAGUUGGUGGGGUAACGGCCUACCAAGCCUACGAUCCGUAGCUGAUCUUAGAGGAUGAUCAGCCACACUGGGACUGAGACACGGCCCAGACUCCUACGGGAGGCAGCAGUGGGGAAUCUUGGACAAUGGGCGCAAGCCUGAUCCAGCCAUGCCGCGUGAGUGAAGAAGGCCUUAGGGUUGUAAAGCUCUUUUACCAGGGACGAUAAUGGCGGUACCUGGAGAAUAAGCCCCGGCAAACUUCGUGCCAGCAGCCGCUGUAAAAC